AGUGGAUGGGGAGCAACCUAGUUGUGCGUGUGUAAAGGUAGUGCCAAGAAAAGCGAUGAUCAUGUUGAAAAUCAAUUCCCGGUACCCGAAACCGACACAGGUGGGCAAGUAGAGAAUACUAAGGGGCGCGAGGUAACUCUCUCCAAGGAACUCGGCAAAAUGACACCGUAACUUAGGGAGAAGGGGUGCCACCGAGAGGUGGUCGCAGUGAAGAGGCCCAGGCGACUGUUUAGCAAAAACAUAGGUCUCUGCAAACUCGAAAGAGGAGGUAUAGGGGCUGACGCCUGCCCAGUGCCGGAAGGUUAAAGAAGUUGGUCAGUCUUAGGAUGAAGCUAGCGACUGAAGCCCCGGUGAACGGCGGCCGUAACUAUAACGGUCCUAAGGUAGCGAAAUUCCUUGUCGGGUAAGUUCCGACCCGCACGAAAGGCGUAACGAUCUGGGCGCUGUCUCGGAGAGAGGCUCGGCGAAAUAGGAUUGUCUGUGAAGAUACGGACUACCUGCAUUUGGACAGAAAGACCCUAUGAAGCUUUACUAUAGCUUGGAAUUGUGUUCGGGCUUCCUGUGCGCAGGAUAGGUGGGAGGCGUAGAAGGUAUUCUUGUGGGGAUACUGGAGCCAACGGUGAGAUACCACUCUCAGGAGGCUAGAAUUCUAACUUAAUUAAGGACAGUUUCAGGUGGGUAGUUUGACUGGGGCGGUCGCCUCCAAAAAGGUAACGGAGGCGUACAAAGGUUCCCUCAGACUGGAUGGAAAUCAGUCGAAGAGUGCAAAGGCAGAAGGGAGCUUGACUGCGAGAAGUACAGUUCGAGCAGGGUGGAAACACGGUCUUAGUGAUCCGACGGUGCUGUGUGGAAGGGCCGUCGCUCAACGGAUAAAAGUUACUCUAGGAUAACAGGCUGAUCUCCCCCAAGAGUUCACAUCGACGGGGAGGUUUGGCACCUCGAUGUCGGCUCAUCGCAACCUGGGGCGGAAGUACGUCCCAAGGGUUGGGCUGUUCGCCCAUUAAAGCGGUACGUGAGCUGGGUUCAGAACGUCGUGAGACAGUUCGGUCCAUAUCCGAUGUAGGCGUGAGAAUAUUGAGAGGAGCCUUCCUUAGUACGAGAGGACCGGGAAGGACGCACCGCUGGUGUACCUGUUAUGAUGCCAAUUGUAAACGCAGGGUAGCCAAGUGCGGAGAGGAUAACCGCUGAAAGCAUCUAAGUGGGAAGCCCACCUCAAGAUGAGUAUUCUGGUGUAAGGUCACGGGAAGACGACCCGUAAAUAGGCACGAGGUGGAAGUGCAGAGAUGUAUGAAGCCGAAGUGUACUAAUAGACCGUCGGCUUGAGC
rnacentral:rRNA from 1 species